UUCUCCAUGCCACAAUAGUCAAUUCCCAAAUUGAACGACUCCCAAGUAUUACCGUUUGGGGGUCUUCUUUUUCUCCCAGAUCGUACAGCAAAAAAAAUCCUAGGGUUCUUCUUUUACUCCCAAAAUCAAUUGAAUCCGCAGGCAACGACCAGGUGUUUUCCAUCGAUCCGCAGAGGUAACAAUUUUCUCCAUAAUUUUAUCCAUACCUAUGAUAUUUUGUCUUUUGAUCUGAACAUUGGGGGAACUGAAAUCUUGAAGAAUUUGGGAUAACUCUGCUACAUCGAUCUUUUCUCUUCUACCUUGAACUAAUUAAUAUUGAGCUCACAUGGGGUAUUUAGGUUGAAUUAAUUUGUAUUGUGCAUCUUAGUGCUCUUGAGUUCGUUGUUUGAAUUAUUAAACUGAUAGUGUUUACUGUUUUGUUUUGCAAGAAAAAUCAUGCAAAAUCCAACCUGCUUUUGUGGAAAUAUGGUGGUGCAGAGGACUUCUUGGACUGAUCGAAAUCCGGGAAGGAGGUACACUACUUGUAUUAAGUAUAAGGUACACAUUGCAACUUGUAGAAAUUUAUAUAUAUAUACACAAUUGUGAGAAUAUGUUCUAAGGUUUGCAAUAUUUUCUGAAUUCAGGAACAAGGUGGUUGUGAAUUUUUUGCUUGGUUUGAUCCUCCCAUGGGAAAUAGGUCGAAUCAAUGGAUAUGAAUCUGAAAUUUCUCACAGAAGAUCAAGGGAGAAUAAAUUAGGGAUUUUGUUGGUGUUCUCUUGGAUAGUUAUGUAUUGGUUGUUUGGUGCCUCGGGUGGAUUCAAAAUGGCUAACACUUUGGAACUUGCUUAAUGGUAUUGAGAACUACAAUAACCUGGAGCAGAAGCAUGUAUGGUGUUUAGGAGUAGGACUAUAUGUUGUACUUUCUAUGCAGUGUACUGUAAUUUUCAAUUGAUGUAAUGUACUUGAGUUUAAAUUGUUAGUUUAUGAAGUGUAUGUAAACUUGAAUCAUAAUUAUUAGUUUAUGUAAUAUAAUGCGUUCUUUAUUUUGACCAAAAAAAA
rnacentral:lncRNA from 1 species